CAGGUUGGUUUUGGUGGGCUGCUUUGUCUGUGGUGAUGGCUGGACUCUUGAUAACUGUGAUAGUAAUCAUCACGUUGAAGAAAACUAAAGGAGAUGAAAGUCAGCUAGAAGAAACUUCUCAGGUUGACCCAAAGAUUGUGUCUUAUGCAUCUAUCAACUUCUCCAAGAGAAAAAGCAAGCUGAUUGCUCCAGUCCCUAGCACUGUGACCUACAGCACUCUGAAUGCUUCCUCUCCAGCAAAAGGUCCUUAAGUUGUGAUGAUCCUGAAAAUAUCCGGUUUACUAUCAAUAACAGAAGUUUUGUCUUGAAAAAGUAGUGUUUUCCUUCCACCUGGCAGUUCUGGAUCCAGUAAAUUGGAUCUAGAUCCUUUCUGCUUCCUUAAUGGCCAAUCUGCCCUCAGCUUGCCUCUCAGCAUUUGUUUGAGUCGUGAUCCUUCCUCUCUAAACUAAAAGAAGAGACUGAUUCUGAGAAAAUAAAUAGGAGGAGAUAUAAGGUGUGCUUUGUCUUUACAUUCCUAUCUUCCA